rnacentral:tRNA from 1 species
UUGUAGCUCAAUUGGUAGAGCAGCGGUCUCCAAAACCGCAGGUUGGGGGUUCGAGCCCCUCCG